UGUGAGUAGCACAUGGAAACCUAGUGGGUUUUUUUUUUAUGUAUUAAAGCUAUAUAUUUAUUACUUAAACAGAAUUCCUGUUCCUCUCACUGUCUUUGCAGAUGCUCUACCUUUGCGUCAUUUGAUCUAUUGAUUCCAAUACAUAGCUUCAAUGAGUUAUUUCCAAAUCUUUUUAAGUGGUCCUGAUUUGUCUUCUGCCCAUAAACUUGAAGAAGCUAUCACUAAACGGCAGUGGUGGUUUAGCGGAGGCGUCAUCACCUACGCAUGCCUGGAGCUGGCCAUAAAGACAUUCUCUGACCUACUCUGUUUGAUAGUGGGUCCUCAGAUCCGCAUUCCAAAGGGAUCCUGUCCCAUACUUGGGAGCAAGAAAUGCCACACAGAGAGGCCAUGAAGAACUCAAACAGAGAGGCCUUGCUGGGUCCUUCUUUCAGUCUAUGACUCUUAGAUUACAGCCUUUUGUCCCAUCACACUUCUGCAUUCUGCACAGCCUUUGUGAAUUCUAAGUAUGCAAGUGGCCAGUUUCUUUGGAUAUCUGAGUCUUCAUUUAUGAAGACUCCAGUGUCAGGACCAUAUUGCGACUGAAACAAGGCAUAACAGGUCUUUGACUGGCUAUCCUGUGGGUGUGGACUCAGGCUAGCCUGCGCAAAGUGGUGAGCAAGGUGGUUGGGAAAAUCAAAGGAGGGGGUAAGGUAGUGGCAGGUAACUAUCGAUAAUCUGCUCUUCUUCACAGAAAGACAGGCAAUUAGAUU
rnacentral:antisense_RNA from 1 species